GGUAAAUUUUUCUCCAUCGAGCAGAAAAGAUCCUUCCUGCGGACAGCAGUGCUGGCCAUCCACGACCCUCUGCUGCGUGUCAGCCAGGCUGGGCUGGUGCUUGUCUACUCCCUCCUGGGGGAAGCCCAGCAACUGAUGGGGGACACACACGAGGAUGUCACAGCCAAGGUCAUGGGCCAGCUUCACAUCAUCCGGCACUUGCACCAGAUGCCCGAGGCGCUGCAAGGGCUGUGGCUCAUCUGAUGCUCUUAAAGGUUCCUCUCCCUGUUCAGCAAGUCCCGCUCCCUGCUGCAGAGUCUGACAUGAAGAGGAGCCUCCUCCCCCCGUAUCUUCUAGGCCCCGGGGUGUGUGACAGCCUCCCAGAUGGCUGCAGUCAGAAGCUGAACCACCUCAGGGAGCAGUGGGGACAGGUCCCUUGUCCUAGGAAACCAAGCAGUGGAAGUUCUCAAAGAGGCUGAGAGGGAAGAGCCCGCUCCCUCAUGGAGCAAGAGGCUCCUCAGAGAGCUCCUCAAACCUGUUCUCCUGGGAGCGUUUCUGGGAGGAGGCUCCCGUCCCUCAGUCUUCAACUCCAUCAUGCAGUCUCUUUCACCUAACAUCUCCGCUCUCCAGCUCCACUUCCCGCAGCGGGAGAAACGGACCUUCAGCUCCCAAAGAACAGACUCUGACCUCCUUCUGAUCAGCAAUGGGGUUUCACCAUCCCUUCAGCCAACCUGUCAGCUGGGCUGGACCGGAUUUGAAGGAGGAGGGUAUCUAACAGGGUGGCUUGGCCUAUGGCUGCCUAGCCUGGGGCUAGGCCAAAUUGAUGACCAAGUGAGCCCCACCUGAGGGGACACAAGUGAAAACAUCAGCAAAAGUACAGAAGCAAAGCGAGCUGUUCAGUAGACGGCCUUGGUCCAAACCCUGGAGUCCAGGGUAGGACUGGCUUCUCUCACCGUCCCUAAGGAAGGGGACAUAGAAGACCCUAGAAACCCAAGAAGGGCAGGCCGAAGCAAAAUCAGGCUGAGGAAGAACUCCCCACGAGGGUGGAAGGCCUUGUUUCUGUUCAAGACAUUUUUGGACUUUGUUUGCAAGGAGCUUGACCCAGGAAGGAGUGGAGUAAAGGACAGUCACCUGGUUGGAGGGCUGAGUUCCCAGCCAACAAACUGCAAGAACCCUCUGUUCUCCUUCUGGGGUGCCUGGACCCUGAUUGUAACAUCUCUCUGGCCCAGCCUCUUACACAGAUGUGUGCUGCAGCCAGCCCAGUGCAGGGAGCAGUGGGGACAGAUGAUCUCCUCCUGUCAGACCAAGCAACAUGAGUCCCAUUGAGGCUUAGAUGGAAGAUCCCAGGCAUCUCCUGGAGAGGAUGCAUCCGGGACCCUGGAGACUGUUUCGUGCAGGAGGUUUGAGCUGGGAGAGAUCACUCACUGUCCUGACCCAUGGGUCAUUAACCCGGGUCUGCAGGGUUCCUGGGAGCAGCCACCCUCCAGCAUGCCACCUGGAAGCCUACGAAAAACUGCUUAAGCUCGGACUGACGAAGUCCAGACCCAGUUUGAGGCUCCUAUUGGCAGAGUCCCAGGGCAGCUAAAUGGCCCCCGGGACCUCAUUAAACCAGCAGCAGGAACAAGAAGCUGUCUGAACAGCCGCGCUCCUCCCCGGCUCUGGACCGUUUGUUGGCUGUUCCUGCUCCCACUCCCCAGGCUUGAUUUCCUGGCAUCCGGACUCGGGUUGACUCAUCUGAUUUGAGGUUCUGAACACAAUUUGGUUUUUUGCUUCUGCUCUUCCCGUGUCCUGACCCAGCUGACUCUCGACUCCUGUCUUGGGAGUGUGGACUCUGCCUCUGACCACUAGGUCUGGGUGCCCAUGACCCAGCCAUGACACUGACUUUUCUUCAAUUCCUCCAAUGCCCUUUUCUGCUCUCCAGCUCUGCUCUCCCAGCAAGACACACCGAUCCCUUGGCUCCCAGAGUCCUGCUUGCCUGCUAGUCAAGGGCUCAGGGGGAGUGUUUGUCUUGCUU